GCCCACAGACUGGAGGCAGUGCCAGCACCGGGGAGCUGGGUUCCAGUUUCCAGACACUGACCUGUGUUUCUGUGUGGAAUGUCCAACGACUCAGAUCGUUGACGACCCUGUGGCAUGCUGAAGUGUUAUAUCGACACAAAAUCGAUUUGAAUGGAGUUACAGAACCAGGGAAGCCGGACGCCUGGACACCUGCGCGGAAUGGAUGCUACAACAAGCCUCUCCCAGCCCAUUCUGAGUUUUAAUUUCUAGUGACUCAUUAUUGCCCAUCUACAUAAAGGCUCACUUUCAUCAGGUCUCCGAGAAGCAUGACUUCCUCACGGAUGCUUUCCUUGACUCCUGAACUAGGAUAGGCCCUACGCUCUCCGUGGGGCUCUGCCCCUCUCUUUCCAGGACUUGGAAGUUAUUAGUAAUUGUCGUUAAUACUGACACAGUUGUGCUCCUCUGCACCUGGAGAAUCCGUCACUACGCAAAGCACUUUUAUCCCAGGAGCACAUGGUCACAAGGUCUUGGACACUCAUCAGUAAAGACACCAAACAACACCCAGAGAUACCAGAUGAAUAGUUUCUCUGGAAACAAAGCUCCUCUGAAGAGAAUUACGUGGACUCGGAGACAGCCAGAGAAUCUUCUGUUCUCCCCGUUCUGAGCUGGCAGAGCUGGCUGAGAAGGAGGCCAUGGUGGGGCCAGGUCAAGUAUAUUCUUCUCAGGGCCACGCAGGCCCCUGUGAUGGUGGCUUGCCUGUACUCCCAGCUCCCGAGGGGCAUGGAGACCCUCCUCAGAAGACAGAUUUUUUUAAAAUUGAGGUAUAACUGACAUAUGACAUUAUAUUCGUUUCAGGUAUACAACAUAAUGCUUUGAUAUUUGUAUGUACUGCAGAGUGACCACCACAAUAAGGCUAGUUAACAUCCAUCACCGCACAUAGUGAAAAUUUUUUCUUGUGAUGAG